AAAAAAAAAAAGAAAGAAAGAAAAGAAAGGGGGCAAUUCAGGUUUCUUGCAUUGACCCUACCCAGCUCUUCACAUUAUAUAAGCUUGCACAUGGUUAUGAAACCACACAACCUUCCGUGCUGCCAGCACAGCCUGAAGCAGGGAAGAAGCCCUUGUGAUUAUUAUCCAUGCAUUUGUGUGUCUCUUGUGGGUGAAACCACUGGGUUUCCUUGAAAAGAUUUAAUGAAAAGCCUCCUAAACAUUCUCAUCACCCAGCAGCAUGAAGGGGUAGCAGCCUGUCACAGGACCCUGUCUGUAGGUUCAGUGCUGCAGGAACCCCAUGGCCACAGCCUCAGUCAGGGGUCUCCUCAUACCCCUGAAACUCCAGCCUGUCCCUGGCCACGUGGCAGUGUGCCUGCUUUGUCCUCGCUCAUCUCUGCACCUGCACCCUGCUAACACGUGUCCACAACGGACAAACGAGAACGAAGCGUUAGCUCAGCGUUUCUUCAUUUUGUAGCCAGGGAGACUCCUGGGUUUUCUCCCUAAGGACGGUUCUGGUGCAGCAGCCUUCCUCUCUUGCUGGCACCAGGGCAGAGGCUCUGGGAUGCUCCCAGGCAGCCACUGGGGCUCUUGCAAACACAGAGAUGUUUUUAGAAGGUUUUACCUUUCAGCCUAACCGAAAUGGCAUACUCGGAGACCCCUCGUACUCCUACGGUCCCUCGUAGCAGCAAGGAGCAAGGUGUUGCACGCUGGCCCCACAGCAGCCCCCAGCGGUCUGAGUUCCCCAGUGCAGUACAACCCGACCCACCGCAGCCACCUGUGGCCCGCUCCUCGGCGGCCAUUUUCCUGCAGCCACCUGUGCUCCUCAAUGCAAUGCACCUGGAGCGCCGGGUCGGCCAUCUUGUGCGGUGCUAAGUGGGGCUGGCAGGGAUCGUCUGCUCGUCUGGCGGCUGAGCAUCGUGCGCGGAAAGCAAAAUUACACCAGGUUUCAGCUUUGCCCUUGUAAGCAGGAAAGUACCAGCUUACUUGUCUCUCCUAUUAUAAACUGAACUGAUUUCAACUUUGGCUUGUGAUGCCUCUUUUUAAUGAAGUAGUGGACUCAGCUCUUGUGGGCAAAUCAUCAUUGAUAAGGAGAGAAAAAGAGACACCAUAUGUGAAUUUUCAACUGUCAUCACAGAGAAGAAUUUCCAUCAGUACCUUAAACGGAAGUUGACUGGAAGGAAGCCACAGCAGUAUGUUAAGAGUUUUCAGUGGGGCAGGUCUGAAAGACACAACAAAAAAUGUUUCAUUUGGAAAACAUCAUAAGGACCUGCUGUAGGAUUGCCAAAGUAAACUGUUUCAUUCUAGAGGAGGUCGAAGUGAAACAUCUGUCAGUCUGGUAAUCUUUGUGUCCUUCCACUGAAAAAUGGAGCCGAUGGGAAGGUACAGUUCAGCAAGCAAAGAAAAGGAAAUUCUCCCUCUUCUCUUAACUAUUUCUGAAAACUGAGCCAUCAUACUGAAGAGCCUGAUUCGCAGACUUAGUGGGAAUUACGCCUGAGCCAGGUAGCAAGAAAAGUUCCAUGGAAGACAACAUCCAAGUCAAACAAUUUCUGUAGGUCUGGGUUUGAAAUCCUCACCCUGCAAGUCUUAACUUCAGCCAUCAGCUAACUCAGUUUCUGGUCUUAUUAAAACAAGAUGAGAAGAAGAAAAACAGCCAGGCACCUCCCUCCCACUGCUGCAAUCCUCUGCUUAGGUCAAGUGACCGAAUAACACUGACAGGCUAAAAGAAGAAUAAGUAGUAAAUACACUGUGCUCACCAACACAAGUCAUCUUGGCCAUGUCCAGGUGAUAACCAUCAAAGCAGUCGCAGGUGUAGCCUUCCUGGACUCUCACACAUCGGCCAUUUUCACAUCCGUUCAGAAUACCACACUCCUCUGCUUGUAACUCCUCAAAGCUGUUCAGAAAACCUGAGCGAAGAAAGAAUUACCAACAAGCCUUAACAGGAAGCUGGGCCAGAUCCAUCAACAGCCUGGACAUUCCUGAAGGACAUCUGAGAUGUUGUACACAAUCCCUCACAUCCUGCCUGCAGCCAUUCCUGAAGGUUGUAUGCAUGCAUACUCUCUGAUCAUCCUUUCUGUAGUUUCACUGCAGAGAGAGAACAGCUUGCGCGCUCUCCGUUUCUUCCAUCUGAAUUGUACUGGAAAAUCAUGAAGUACUGGCAUGGAGAAAUCUCUCCUGAAAAAAUCAUGGCGAUAUUCUACAGAAUAUGGAAUCUAAUGUGAAAGCCUUCUCUGACAGCAAAGCAUACUGAAGUUAACAAAAAUACAGUGCUUCAAAAAUUUACACGUGGAUGGACAGCUUCAUCUUACCAGUUCCAAAGACAGGGCAUGGGAAGAUUUCACAGUUAUCACCCCAGCCAGCACCCAAAGUACAGCAGCAUUCUUGUUUGGUUACAUUGGACGCAAGCACGUUGUCACAGAAGUUAGCAUCGUUCAGAUUGUAGUAGCACUCCUUCUUUCCAUCUUCAUGUUGAUCAGGCUCUAUUGGCAAUUCUAAAAGUGAAGAGAACAUCUGUGUAAGAUGUUAGGUGAAAUAAAUAGAUUUGUUUUACAGGAGAGUCAUGUGAGUCAUGGUUCUGAAGUCACCACAGUGAAGAAUAGUGUUGCCUGGUUGAGAAGAAAAUAGCUACAAAUUCUGUUUUCACCUUUUUGUUCUUGGGAAGAAUGAUGGGAGUUCAUAACUGUUCUUUUUCAGACCCAUUCUGAAAUUUUUCAUACUUGCACUUCCUUCACUUUCAAGCAGAUCUAUCUGCUGUCACGGCUAACUAUCUAGCUAUCAUGCCCAACGCUGUGCUUUUCAUGUAUGAACAUUGAUGCCCUUCACACACAUGACCAAACAUUACACAACCUCAUUUUACAGAUAAAGAAGGUAAGGCAUAAACUGGAAAGAACUGAUUCUCCAAAGAAUGAACAUUUCCUUUUGAUUUUACUGGGGAAAAAAAAGCACAGUCCAUAUUUGAAAACAAAGCCCUUUAAGAUUUUGGCAAAAGUAAUCGUGCAACUCUGCAGCAAGCAGAGGAAUAUAAUACAGAUGUUGAGUUAACUGACUCUGCAUUUUACUUUAAAAUAGGCUUUACAGGCAUCCAGCCAAGAAAUAGUAUUUUUUGCCCUUUGCAGUUGAGUGGGUCCUCUCCUACUAUAUAUACACAAGGACUUGAGGAAAAACACUCUUUCCCAUAGAUCCAAUAAAAGACAUUAACAGUCAAAAACUUUUAAAAGCAAGGCACUUAAGUACGCAAAGGAGUGAGUUUGAAAAGAAAUACAUAGUUUAAGCUUCUAUAUUUUCAGAAUCCUGUCCAUCUAACCUUGCACUUGCAUAAAAGUUCUCUUCAAGAGCUCAGUAACAGAAACUAUCACAUAAAAUUGUUAAUCACACUUGAUCAAUAUGACAAACUCUUCAUGUGCCAUCUGUAAGGUAACUGAACAGCUCACAUUUAUUAAUCAAAACAAAAAUUUUGUUCUUUAGUUUUAGAUAAGCCCUGAGAUGAUUUGUACACUCCAUUUUCUUCUUGUGAAAUGCCUCAUGCCUAGCACUUAGUUUAGAAAUACUGAAAUUCAUAAAAACACACUACAAAUAAUUGCAUAUUGAUUGAUUUUCCACUGUUUGAGAUUUCAUCUGUUUCUUCUCAGUCUGUUGCACAAUUUGCCAAGCGGCAGAGAACUGUCAAGCAAUGUAUCCAGGUGGGAAUUAAAACUCAAGAAGAUACUCAAGGCUGCCAGCGUACAAACUCAUUGUGUAGCUGGGAGAACCACGUACACUUGACCAGUGCCUGUUUGCCCCUUUUUCUGGCCGUCUCACAGAGGCAACGCUCAGCCUCUUCGCACAAGUUACAGGAUGCAUCUUUUUCCUUGUCCCCCUCACAUAAGAAGAAAUGGCUGUGAGGUGGGAUCUCAAAGGCAGUGAUUGCCCAACAGAUGCUGAACGAACUCCAGCUCAGUACCUAAAACCCGUCCUGCCUUCCCGGUAGGAUGCAAGCAGGUGAGACAAGGCAGCUUUAUUGAGCAUGCAAAUAACAGAUUCAUUUUCAAAAAAGCAGUAAGGAUUGCCUGUUACUGCAGUCUAAUAGUAUGAACGUGUGUAAUAGUUCUUUUGGCUUCUCAUUCCAAACAGACAAUUAGAUUUAUUUCUAUUUUCCUCAGAAAAGCGCCCGUGUCUGUUUUUGGAGCUUGAGGAGCUGGCAGACUCCUCUACUCAAAUGUAGUACAAUGUUGCCACCUACAAGGCACAUUUUCCUUUGCUCCUUUGCCAAUAUAAGUAAGUUGUACAUUAAAGGAAACACCCAGCUGAGUGCUUAUUUCAUCUUUGUUAGUUUAGUCUGUGGUCUCCCCUCAUCAGAUAAUUACAAUUUUCCAUAAUGUGCUGAAUUUCAUAAAGUACGGUGGUUUUGUGGUAUCAGCUCCUGUCCAAUAGGAGCCAAGUUAAGACUAUCGCGUGUCACAGAAACUAGGGAACUGAAUUUGUUAUUCCAAGGUGAGAGAGCAGUACUUGAGCUACCAAAUUAUACAUUUUCUUUGGCUGUCUGCCAUCUGUCUAACUGAAUCAAAGCCAAAAGCUUUUAGCAGGAGAAAAUGCAUGGCACUUUUCACGCUGUUUACCAGAGAAAGAACACCAGAAGCUGCCCCAAGAGGGAGGGGAGACAAUCUCAUGGUGUGAUUGUUUAUUCCCAUUUUACAUAUGAUGUGUUGGUUUUUCCUCCCAUUAUCUGUUCAGCAGCUUAAAGGUCUGUUGUUUACACAGCUGUGUCUGAGGGUUAGUCAAGCAGGCUUCAUGAAUGUUUGGAAAGCAAAUGAGACACAAGUUUUAUUAUUAUUAUUUUUUUAAAUCAAGAUGAGCCUACGUCUACAAGCUUCUAAUUUCUUUCAUACACUAUUAACCAUUUAGUAAACAGGCUGUUUUUGAAAGUGGUUUCAGCAAGUAUUUGGACCAAAUAUUAUAGGAAAUGGACUUGCUAUUUCAUACUGUUGCUUGUUUUGUGUUUUUUGCUGUUGCUAGAAAAUGUAAAAUAUCCCUCUAUCUAAGGCACUCAGGUAAAGUAAUUUUAUCAGGUUGAUACAACUGUUAAAUUAGCAGCCUGG